rnacentral:rRNA from 1 species
AUUGAACACUGGCGGCAUGCUUUACACAUGCAAGUCGAGCGGUAACAGGCCUUCGGGUGCUGACGAGUGGCGAACGGGUGGGUAAUGCAUCGGAACGUACCCAGAGGUGGGGGAUAACGCAGCGAAAGCUGUGCUAAUACCGCAUGUGAUCUGAGGAUGAAAGCGGGGGACCGAGCAGCAAUGUUUGGCCUCGCGCCUUUGGAGCGGCCGAUGUCGGAUUAGCUAGUUGGUGGGGUAAAGGCCUACCAAGGCGACGAUCCGUAGCUGGUCUGAGAGGACGACCAGCCACACUGGGACUGAGACACGGCCCAGACUCCUACGGGAGGCAGCAGUGGGGAAUUUUGGACAAUGGGCGCAAGCCUGAUCCAGCAAUGCCGCGUGCGGGAAGAAGGCCUUCGGGUUGUAAACCGCUUUUGGCAGGAACGAAACGGUGUCCGCUAAUACCGGGCGCUAAUGACGGUACCUGCAGAAUAAGCACCGGCUAACUACGUG